GUUGUUGCCGGAGAUGGCUUGGACCCAAACAGCCGUGACGAAGCCAAGCCAUUUCAGAGCAGAGGAAGAAGAAGAAGAUCUACCGAAACCCAUUGGAGUAUUGAGAACAAGAACAAGAAAGGGAAAGAAGAUUUUUUUUUUUUUUUUUUUUUUGUGAAGUGUGAGGGUUUGUUGAGCUAUCUGCGUACGGUUUUAAAGGCGAAAGGUUUAUAAGCUAGAAUGACGAACAUGGAAAGUACGAAAGGGACACGUACGGUGUGAAGGUGUUGGAAGCCGUGAAAUUUACGGUGAUUCGUUUCAUUCCUUUUUCAUUUUUAUCUAAUGCAAAUUGCUUUAAAUCAGGGAUGCUUUCUUAGUGGGUGAUUAGAGUAUGAUCAAGUAGGAUGAUUAGUAGUUAGUGAAUGGUUUUGGCCAGUUGUAUAAACAUGGGAUAUUUUCUUAAUGAGUGAUUAGAGUAUUGUCAAGUAGGAUGAUUAGUGGUAAGUGGAUGGUUUUGGCCAGUUGUUUUGUUUUUUUCAGGCAUGGGAGUUCAUGCAUCUGUAAGUUCUUUUUUACUUAUUUGAAUAUUAUAUACAUGUCAUGACCACAUGGUUUUAUUUAAAGAAUGUGUUUAUUCAGUCUUAACUAAUCAAAAGCUUCUGUAAAGCUGCAGUUGUUUUCGUUUAAUCUUGACCAUUUCAAAAUAAAAUGAUUUAUGUAAUAAAGUUUUAAUGUUUUGUUUUGAUUAUAUGGUAGUGCUGGCAUGUGAGAGAGUCAUGGACUUUAGAUAUGUCUCUCGGAUUAAAAGUUCUGUUUGGUACCAUUAGGGAAUCAUAGAAUAAAAAAGAGGAAUAUGCAGUGUGUAUAUUGAACUGAAACUGGUGAACCGACACCAAAGAAUAAAGUCGUAAACGGUGAUUUUGGUGAUUGAUUUUGCAGAAAGUUGGAAAUGCUAAAUCCAAUUCCUGAGUCAUUAUAGUUUUUUUUUUUUUUGGUCAAAGUCAUUAUAGUUAUAACUACUGAUUCAUCGGAGUACACUAUUACGGCAAGUCGGCGACACAGCUUCUAACUGCUAAUAAAGUGGCGAAACUAGGCAGAGAAUAAAGUCGUAAACAGAUCUACGACACAUGACAUCACAAUGCAUAAAAAUAUCGUACGAGUGGAUAUUCAGAUCUGGAACUGGAGUUUGGAAAUCAAUAAGUGGGACUGGAAGCUUCCAGUCUGGUUUGGUUUUAUCUACUUUUCAUUCGGAUAACAUACUGAUUUAUUUUACUUUCAUAAUUAUUUGUUGGUCAUUUUUUUGCCAAUCUAUAAUACUUAACUGAGAUAUGGACGUAUGAAAUUAUUUGUACAUUCUAUACUACUAAUUUUGUUGUA